rnacentral:ncRNA from 1 species
UAUUAUGAGAGUUUGAUCCUGGCUCAGGACGAACGCUGGCGGCGUGCCUAAUACAUGCAAGUCGAACGCUUCUUUUUCCACCGGAGCUUGCUCCACCGGAAAAAGAGGAGUGGCGAACGGGUGAGUAACACGUGGGUAACCUGCCCAUCAGAAGGGGAUAACACUUGGAAACAGGUGCUAAUACCGUAUAACAAUCGAAACCGCAUGGUUUUGAUUUGAAAGGCGCUUUACGGUGCCGCUGAUGGAUGGACCCGCGGUGCAUUAGCUAGUUGGUGAGGUAACGGCUCACCAAGGCCACGAUGCAUAGCCGACCUGAGAGGGUGAUCGGCCACAUUGGGACUGAGACACGGCCCAAACUCCUACGGGAGGCAGCAGUAGGGAAUCUUCGGCAAUGGACGAAAGUCUGACCGAGCAACGCCGCGUGAGUGAAGAAGGUUUUCGGAUCGUAAAACUCUGUUGUUAGAGAAGAACAAGGAUGAGAGUAACUGUUCAUCCCUUGACGGUAUCUAACCAGAAAGCCACGGCUAACUACGUGCCAGCAGCCGCGGUAAUACGUAGGUGGCAAGCGUUGUCCGGAUUUAUUGGGCGUAAAGCGAGCGCAGGCGGUUUCUUAAGUCUGAUGUGAAAGCCCCCGGCUCAACCGGGGAGGGUCAUUGGAAACUGGGAGACUUGAGUGCAGAAGAGGAGAGUGGAAUUCCAUGUGUAGCGGUGAAAUGCGUAGAUAUAUGGAGGAACACCAGUGGCGAAGGCGGCUCUCUGGUCUGUAACUGACGCUGAGGCUCGAAAGCGUGGGGAGCAAACAGGAUUAGAUACCCUGGUAGUCCACGCCGUAAACGAUGAGUGCUAAGUGUUGGAGGGUUUCCGCCCUUCAGUGCUGCAGCUAACGCAUUAAGCACUCCGCCUGGGGAGUACGACCGCAAGGUUGAAACUCAAAGGAAUUGACGGGGGCCCGCACAAGCGGUGGAGCAUGUGGUUUAAUUCGAAGCAACGCGAAGAACCUUACCAGGUCUUGACAUCCUUUGACCACUCUAGAGAUAGAGCUUCCCCUUCGGGGGCAAAGUGACAGGUGGUGCAUGGUUGUCGUCAGCUCGUGUCGUGAGAUGUUGGGUUA